GUAGCCAACACGCGCGUGACUUGCACGAUGGAGACAAUGAUAAUAUACACGACGCAUCCGUUGUCACCGACGUUGUGCAGCAUCUGCGUCCAAAGAUCAGAGACAUAUCUUACUUGAGUGUCUGCUCGCGAAAAUAAUAUACAAGUCGCCAGCGAAUAUAAUAAGAGUCCAUGGAGGAGGCGGCGGGGAGAAUAGGAAACGUGCGCAAGCGCUGCGAAAACCUCAACCGAUCAACGAAGACUUAUAUCGGUGUCUUUAUAUAUAUAUGUGUGUGUGUGUGUGUGUGUGGAGAGAGGUACACAACGCAUCGUGCAGGAUAUAACAUCAUUACGAUAAUUGAUAAAGAGAACAUACUUUUUAAAGCAGUGAAAAAGCGCCCUGUACCGGCUGUACCACUUUUAUAUAUUGUAAAUUGAAGAAUAAUCGUGCUCAAAUGAUGCCGUGUUUUAAAAAAUGAAAGGAAAACUCUUUGAUCGAAUUCUAUAGACCUUUUUUAUGGUUUUUUAGGUAUAAUCCAGCCAGGUAAAAUUUUAAUAUUAAAUUAUUAAUAUUUAUUGCUGUUUUUGAAUUUAGGUUUACGCACCCAUUGAUAAACGCAUUUAUAUUUCUUAUCGAUUUCGUCAUAAAUCCUUUAAUUUAUAGCUUUGUAUUAAAUUUUAAAAUUCACAUUCGGUUUCCUUACAUUCAUUACGAUUUGAAAAGUAUACAUUUUAAACAGUAGUUGCAUUAUUUUUGUAAACUCAUUAUAUCAAUAACAGAUCUCAAUUUUCACACAAUUGAUACGUCUUGUAUCUGUUAUGAUCUCAUCGUCUGAACGAUAUCAACUGAAUAAAUGUCCAUAACACGACCUUCCCGUCAAACGACGAUAUAAUUAUUAUAUCACUUAUUAUUUAAAAUGUAUCAUAAAUUGUGUAUCGUAUACAAUUUUUUUUUUAAGUUUUAGUUUAGAUUUAUUAAUAUUUAAAUUUAAAAUAAUAUAAUACGUAACAUAUUUUAUAACACAGCAUAAUAAUCAUAUUGAAAUACACCUGGCUUAUUGUAUACGUCGUAGAACCAAAUGAAUGAAAAAUCUUAAGAAAAAAUGUACGGCGGCGGACAAAAACUUAUCGGCUCAUCGUAUCAAAAGAAAAAGAGAUGCGAUCUGAAAUCACGCUAACCCUAUAAUAGAAUGAGGUAACAUCACCGGUAACCUCGCGCCGUCUGGGAUCCUGCCGUUCUAACCGACAUAAUAUUUAUAACUUUUUACACCCAUUGUAAACAGAUAGACACACACGCACAUACGACAUUGGUAUACAAACACUGAAACACAAUACGAAUCGGUUGCGUUUGUUUUCGAACACAUAUUGUUAUGCGUGUGUAUAUAUAUUGAAUAUACAAUAUAUAUAUAUAAUAUAAACGUGUGUGUUACUGUGUUAUGUUUACGCGAGUUUGUGUGUGCGUACAAAAGGACCACGAAAAAUUUGAAUACGACCGCAACCAAAGGUCAGAACACACACAGCAUUUAUAAAUGCACACGACGAAAACAACAAUGCUCGAAUAAAAAAAAAAAAAAAAAA
rnacentral:lncRNA from 1 species